ACACCGGCAGCUCAAGUGGUAGCCGCUUUUAUUGGGCCUAAAGCGUCCGUAGCCGGUCUGAUAAGUCUCUGGUGAAAUCCCACAGCUUAACUGUGGGAAUUGCUGGAGAUACUAUCAUGACUCGAGGUCGGGAGAGGCUGGAGGUACUCCCAGGGUAGGGGUGAAAUCCUGUAAUCCUGGGAGGACCACCUGUGGCGAAGGCGUCCAGCUGGAACGAACCUGACGGUGAGGGACGAAAGCCAGGGGCGCGAACCGGAUUAGAUACCCGGGUAGUCCUGGCCGUAAACGAUGUGGACUUGGUGUUGGGAUGGCUUCGAGCUGCCCCAGUGCCGAAGGGAAGCUGUUAAGUCCACCGCCUGGGAAGUACGGCCGCAAGGCUGAAACUUAAAUGAAUUGGCGGGG
rnacentral:rRNA from 1 species